UACGGGGGGUGCGAGCGUUGUCCGGAAUCACUGGGCGUAAAGGGCGCGUAGGUGGUUUGAUAAGGGUGUGGUGAAAGCCCGGGGCUCAACCCCGGGUCUGCCGUGCCGACUGUCAAACUCGAGGGCUGUAGAGGCAGACGGAAUUCCGGGUGUAGCGGUGGAAUGCGUAGAGAUCCGGAGGAACACCGGUGGCGAAGGCGGCAUCCUGGACCGGCAUUGACGCUGAGGAGCGAAAGCGUGGGGAGCGAACAGG
rnacentral:rRNA from 1 species